rnacentral:lncRNA from 1 species
GUUGAAUGCUUUUUAAUAAGUACUGUUUUGCAUAAUUAGUUAUAGUACAGAGCUAAUACCAUGGCUGGCAUCAGAAAAAAUUGGUUAUCGCAGGAGAUGGUGCAUGUGGCAAGACAUGUUUGUUCAUUGUUUUCACAAGGGACCAGUUUUCAGAAUUAUAUGUUUCCACAGUCUUUGAAAACUAUGUUGCUGACAUUGAAGUUCAUGGCAGCAGGUUGAGUUGGCUUUGUGGGACACAGCGGGACAGGAAGAUUAUGACAGACUGCAACCUCUCUCCUAACCUGACACUCAUGUUAUCCUUGUGUGUUUCUCCAUUGAUUCUCCAGACUCUCUUGAUAAUAUAAUGGAAAGUGGUUGCCUGAAGUCAGGAGUUGCGCACUGAUACAAACACAAUAAAAGAAUUGCAAAAGAUGAAGCAAGAACCAGUGAAGACUGAAGAAGGUCAUGCUGUUGCCAAGACAAUCAAUGCCUACGCAUAUCUUGAGUGUUUUGCCAAGACCAAGGAGGGAGUCACAGCUGUUUUUAAGACGGCAACUAUGACCACGUUCAAUAUCAAUCAAAGAUCAUCCGCCUUGAAAUGUUUUCUCAUUUGAACUCAAUGCACUGUAAAGUGAACAGUAAAGAAAAUGCUAUAAUUUAAUCUUUCAUAUUGAAUUAUGUGAAAAAUGGCUAUCUAUUGAGAAAAAUAUUGAAGUGAAAGAGCCCUGGAACAAUUGUUUACCAUUUUUUGGAAUUUUCUUCCAUUAUGUUUCUCACAUAACAAAGGAGCAGGAUUUUAUACUUAUUUUGGUUGAAACGUUUUCACUCUAUUUUGAGAUUUGUUAAUCGAGUUAAUACAUGAUUUCUUCCUGAUAUACUUUGCUUAAUAUUCACGUUAGCUUCUUAAAUUCAUUUACAUCAAUCCUCUAAGUUAAAUAUCUUUCUAAAUGUCUUUGAAAUUGCAUUUUUUUUUGCCUGCUAAGAUUGAGAAUUAAUAAUGUUCAUAUUUAUUCCUUGUAAAUUCUUCCCCAAAAAUAUCAGAAACUAAGACAUUAUUGAUGUCCAACAUUUAUAACUGUUGGUGGGGUUUUUCUUUUUAUGGAUUAAAAUGAGUCCCUCAUUCAAUGAACACAUUAGUUAAGCUAUUUUAUUUAAAAAUUUUCAUUUCUGUGCAGCCGUUAUUUGAUCCACCAGCAUAGCCAAGGUUGCGUAGUUGCCAAAAUUAUGGUAACUAUAUAAAAAGCGCUGUAUUGUAAAAUGAAGACAUUACAUUACUGAGGAGCUAUUGACACUUACUGUAUUGUGGACAUGAGGUCUUUUCCGUUAUUGUAGACUGGACGACGCCCCGAACGUUUUGGUGUACCUAUCUAGGAACCCAAUGUUGGUGCUGUAUCAUUGUCAGGGUCAUGUUGGUUUGCUCUGUGUAACAAGUUUCUAUUUUAGAUUGUAGUAGUUAGUUGUAAAAACGAUUGGUGAUAAGGACAAUCCCCUACGAUAGAUAAAAUUACAGAUCUCAAAUGGUAUUAAUGUAAUUACAUUUGAAGCACAACAACCAUUUUUAUCCCAAGAACUAUUGAGCAUUUAUCUUAGCUGUGCCAACAUUAUCAACAUAACGUCGAUUGAAGCAAUGAAAAAUAUUUUUAAGAUUAAGUUACUGAUGCACCAAAGUUAAUAGCUUAAGGAUAAUGGAGAUGGUGUAAGAGAGCUUAACUAAAGUCCAAAUAACAUAUGCUAUUAUUAUUUUAAUUUCAAUGACAUUACUACGAGUUAUAUGUGGAGUAUAAAAAAUGUAUCUAUAUAGUAGGUGCUCGUAACUAAUUGUGCACACUACUGCUGCCUGAGGCAAGACAGUUUAGUGAAAUUUGUAGAAUUCUAUAUCAUUAAUGAAAUAUUUAGUUUGUAUUCUAAAAUAUUUGUAAUGAAGUCAUUUUCCUUGUGCUAAAGUUGGUUUGUAACGGGUUAACAGCGAUUAUCGAUUUCAUGAGAAUAUUUUCGUGUCAUUAAAGAUGUACGUUAUAUAACUAAUGAUGGUAUAUAUUCCUUCUAUGUUAACAUAGGCUAGGAGAAAGCAAAUACAGCCUUUGAUAGAUCAAAGUUAUUUUUGUCAGUUAGAGUAUGACAAUAAGGUAAUUCUUAUUUAAUAGAUCCGCGUCUAGAAAUGAUUUUCGUAUUGCUCAGUAGUUCAUUUUUUGUUGUGAUGUGUUUUUCUAAACGGUUUCUAAUUACUGUUGCCUAAUAUUUAUUGUAGUAACAUGCCUUAUUUGCCCCCAAGAUUUUCUCCAUAAUAGUCUAUAAUUUACUUGCGUGAUGUAGAAACCCUUUCUGAUUUUAUGACUAGGUCCAAUGACACUAUUAAGUACAAUGACUACAAUCUACUUUGUAAUGGAAGCUUUAUUAAUUGUUAAUUUUUCUUUGCGUGGCUUCUGUGGUGCUCAUGACCUUAAUUUGUAUCAUUGUAUGUGAUCAUCGUCACAUUAUUCCUUAGACAUUGUACAACGGUAAGAGUUACCGUAUCAUUUUCUUUUCUAUAAUACCAGCAACUGAAAAUGUGAGAUAUGGUUUAUGAGAACAGUUCUUGAUUGAUAUAGAACUCUCCAGUUUAGGAUGUUAUCAGUGAGUGUCCCUUGCAUUCUUAGGAAGCAUUUUAAGGCUUAUGAAAACAAUGCUUCGUGAUUAUCAGUAGAAUCCCAUGCAACUUAGAUAAUUGACAUAUUUUUUUAUGCAUGGACUACGGUGUAGCAAUUUCUUAUUUUGAUUGUACUAUUUUGUCUUCAUAUUUUAGUGUUACCUACGCGUUGCCUUCUAUAUAUAAUAUAUGUAUAUAUAUUUUUUUAAUAAUGUUGCAAGUGUAAUUUAAUAAUGAAGUAUAAAUUCAGGCCUUCUAUAAAAGCAUGUAUACUGGUGUUGUAAUAUUCUAUAUGGUGUUCAAACGUAAGUGUUCUUAACAUAUACAUGCGUAGUGUUUCUACAAACAAGCCAUCAGCAUCUUGCAUCGAAUGAAGAAUUUUGUGUGUAAUCUGUCAAGAAGAAGAAACUGUUUUUUUCCAAGAUAAUCUUAGAAUUAGGAAAGGCAUCAUUUAAUUAGUCACUUAUUCUUGGUGUUUUGAGUUCUGUUCUAUGCAGCCUGUGUCCAUUUGAUGUAAUUUUUCUUUCCAUUUGAAUUGCGUCUUGUUAAGUCCGAAUAAAAGCACAGGUCUUCAGGUAAGGGGACCGUUUUGGUAAAAAAAAAAAUUUGUAUUUACGGACGGAUCGUUUUGAAACUUGGUUCACAUAUGUAAAA